rnacentral:rRNA from 2 species
UGGGGAAUAUUGCACAACGGAGGGAACUCUGAUGCAGCGACGCCGCGUGAACGAAGAAGGCUUUCGAGUCGUAAAGUUCUUUUAUAUGGGAAGAUAAUGACGGUACCAUAAGAAAAAGCCCCGGCUAACUACGUGCCAGCAGCCGCGGUAAUACGUAGGGGGCUAGCGUUGUCCGGAAUCACUGGGCGUAAAGGGUUCGCAGGCGGAAAUGCAAGUCAGGUGUAAAAGGCAGUAGCUUAACUACUGUAAGCAUUUGAAACUGCAUAUCUUGAGAAGAGUAGAGGUAAGUGGAAUUUUUAGUGUAGCGGUGAAAUGCGUAGAUAUUAAAAAGAAUACCGGUGGCGAAGGCGACUUACUGGGCUCAUUCUGACGCUGAGGAACGAAAGCGUGGGUAGCAAACAGG